UUUCCUUUAGACAAGAGAAGGUGGUGUCGAUAAGACGUGAGGUUAUUAUUCAUCAUACGUUCAGCUAUGCUUUAUAUACCACAUAUAUGUAUAUUAGGAUACGUUUGAUAUAAUACGAUCAUAAUUUUUCCUUUGCGUUAUAUCUUGCAGCUUUAGUAAUUGGUUUAGUGUUGUUGACAGACAUAUGUACAGUGAGACAAAACGAUGACCACAACGAUGGGGAAUCAUUCAGACUUGAUAGUUUAUAUCUGCGUCCUUUUGUGCAAUACACUACAGAAUACAUCAUAGUAUAUUCAAGUUGCCAACACACUGAUGUGAAGAACCCUUUCCAGAGAAAUAUAGAAGGAAAUGACUGUGAAGCUUGUGUUGGGGAGGAUUCAGUGUCUGUUGAUAAACACGUGAAUGUGCUACAAAGUGAGUUCAGAAACACAUCCAGACACAUGGACUGUCAAAGACCACACAGGAACAUUCUCCUGGAGACGCUGAGAAAGCACAGAAGGAAUCUCUGUGGAGGAUGUACUCAAACACACCCAGACUUCAGGACACCUGCUGGAGUGAGUAUAGUAAAAACAAAACAAUCAAAUCUUUUAAGGUAAUAUUUUAUUCUUCUGUACCCUUUUAGCCCAUCUGUUAAAAAUGUAAAACAAUGGUUUUAGAAAACAAUGUAAGAUUUAUCAGUGUAUAAAAGAAC